rnacentral:tRNA from 1 species
GUCCAAGGUAGCCUAGUGGACAUGGCAUCUGCCCGGUAAGCGGAACACAGUGGGUUCGAUUCCCAUCCCUGGACA